GACGCCGGGCCAGCUGGGUACCCCAGGCUCCCGGGUGUUUCGCGGUGUGGUAUUCGUUCAUCGGCGGUGAGAUCACGAGACUGGCCGGGUGUUUGAUGUUAAAGACUACAGGAAAAUUUCGAUUUGUAGGUCAUCCGAAAGAGGAGAGCAGGUUGGAGAUCCCUUGAGAAUGACACCAACAGCAACAUCUGGCUAAAGGGAAAUGACAGGGACAUAGGAUCGGGUUUCUUUAUCAGGACCCAGAAAAACACCCACGUGGAUUACAUUCUACAACUCCCCUAUCUUUAAGACUAAAUAAAUUACUGCAAAUAAAAAUGAGAUCAAUUUAAUCUGCAUCUCCAAGUUUCUACAUGUGCUGCUUCUCAAAGGCCUGGCUCAUCGAUGAGGCUCUUCGACGAACACCUUGAAAAGUACAGAUUUAAUAGACUUAAGCUCCUGUGUUUAUAAAUAUGGACCAGACCACAACCUAUAUUCAAGCGUAUCCUAUUAGAUUCCAGUACUGGUGAGCAACACAGUUGCUGCCAAAGGCUUAGAAAGCAUUUAUGGGUCAAAACGUUGCAGAAGAGAAAAUCCCACCCAUUGACAGAAUUUCUG